ACCCUAGAUAGGAGGAGAGAUCAUCAGAGGUAUUAUAGCCAUAGAUAUAGAACCCUAGACAGUAGGAGAGAUCAUCAGAGGUAUGUUAGCCCAUAGAUAUAGAACCCUAGAUAGGAGGAGAAAUCAUCAGAGGUAUUAUAGCCAUAGAUGUAUAACCCUAGAUAGGAGGAGAAAUCAUCAGAGGUAUGUUAGAUAUAGAACCCUAGACAGGAGGAGAGAUCAUCAGAUGUAUUAUAGCCAUAGAUAUAGAACCCUAGACAGGAGGAGAGAUCAUCAGAGGUAUGUUAGCCCAUAGAUAUAGAACCCUAGACAGGAGGAGAGAUCAUCAGAGGUAUUAUAGCCAUAGAUAUAGAACCCUAGAUAGGAGGAGAGAUCAUCAGAGGUAUGUUAGCCCAUAGAUAUAGAACCCUAGACAGGAGGAGAGAUCAUCAGAGGUAUUAUAGCCAUAGAUGUAGAACCCUAGAUAGGAGGAGAAAUCAUCAGAGGUAUGUUAGAUAUAGAACCCUAGAUAGGAGGAGAGAUCAUCAGAGGUAUUAUAGCCAUAGAUAUAGAACCCUAGACAGGAGGAGAGAUCAUCAGAGGUAUUAUAGCCAUAGAUAUAGAACCCUAGAUAGGAGGAGAGAUCAUCAGAGGUAUGUUAGCCCAUAGAUAUAGAACCCUAGACAGGAGGAGAGAUCAUCAGAGGUAUUAUAGCCAUAGAUAUAGAACCCUAGACAGGAGGAGAGAUCAUCAGAGGUAUGUUAGAUAUAGAACCCUAGAUAGGACGAGAAAUCAUCAGAGGUAUUAUAGCCAUAGAUGUAUAAUCCUAGACAGGAGGAGAGAUCAUCAGAGGCAUUAUAGCCAUAGAUGUAGAACCCUAUGGUCUGUGGUUAUAGCUAGUGUAGUAUUGUAUUGUUCUCAUGACAUCAUGAGGUGUUCUAUGGUUGUGUAAUGAAGGAGUGUCGGUGAACUGCUGUGCUGACGUGAUGAGUAACUAAGCUUGCCUGUGAGCUGAAGACUUGUUAGCUUCCUCAAGCUAAUGCCUGUAGGCUUUAGUUCAGCUCGCUAACACAGUCCUGUGAUGUGUCGGAGACUCCGGUCCGAACCCAGAUGGUCCAACCCUCACUGGACAGAAACACUAGGGUUGUUACUCCACAGUGAUGUCAUGACAUGAUAAAGAAGCCAGAAGAACACCCCGGCCCCUAGACCGUCUACUCUACACAGACUCUACAUAUUCAAAUAGUUCCUCGGUCCUCAUUAAAAUAAUGGCAAAUUCCAAAUGGGAAUAUGGGGGUAGGCUGGGGAUUCAAUCAGGCAGUAGGAAUUGGUUUAGGCUGCAGAGCCCACAUGGUGCACUGGAUAAUGCCUGGUGGGAUAAAGUGUGUGUGCAGCAGCUGAUGUCAUGUGUCUGGGGGUAAUGAGAAGUGACAUGCGUCCGUAACCUGGUUUGGGAGGGGCUCCCCGGAGGGGUCCCAGUCCGUGUGUGUGUGGGGGGGGGGGUCAUCUGAUGCUGGGCCAUCUGUUACUGCACCAUAGAAACCAAAUAAUAAUGUCUUUACUGCGCCAUAGAAACCAAAUAAUAAUGUCUUUAAUGCGCCAUAGAAACCAAAUAAUCAUGUCUUUACUGCGCCAUAGAAACCAAAUAAUCAUGUCUUUACUGCGCCAUAGAAACCAAAUAAUCAUGUCUUUACUGCGCCAUAGAAACCAAAUAAUCAUGUCUUUACUGCGCCAUAGAAACCAAAUAAUCAUGUCUUUACUGCGCCAUAGAAACCAAAUAAUCAUGUCUUUACUGCGCCAUAGAAACCAAAUAAUCAUGUCUUUACUGCGCCAUAGAAACCAAAUAAUCAUGUCUUUACUGCGCCAUAGAAACCAAAUAAUCAUGUCUUUACUGCGCC